rnacentral:rRNA from 1 species
GAUUGAACGCUGGCGGCAGGCCUAACACAUGCAAGUCGAACGGUAGCACAGAGAGCUUGCUCUCGGGUGACGAGUGGCGGACGGGUGAGUAAUGUCUGGGAAACUGCCUGAUGGAGGGGGAUAACUACUGGAAACGGUAGCUAAUACCGCAUAACGUCGCAAGACCAAAGAGGGGGACCUUCGGGCCUCUUGCCAUCAGAUGUGCCCAGAUGGGAUUAGCUAGUAGGUGGGGUAACGGCUCACCUAGGCGACGAUCCCUAGCUGGUCUGAGAGGAUGACCAGCCACACUGGAACUGAGACACGGUCCAGACUCCUACGGGAGGCAGCAGUGGGGAAUAUUGCACAAUGGGCGCAAGCCUGAUGCAGCCAUGCCGCGUGUAUGAAGAAGGCCUUCGGGUUGUAAAGUACUUUCAGCGGGGAGGAAGGCGAUAAGGUUAAUAACCUUGUCGAUUGACGUUACCCGCAGAAGAAGCACCGGCUAACUCCGUGCCAGCAGCCGCGGUAAUACGGAGGGUGCAAGCGUUAAUCGGAAUUACUGGGCGUAAAGCGCACGCAGGCGGUCUGUCAAGUCGGAUGUGAAAUCCCCGGGCUCAACCUGGGAACUGCAUUCGAAACUGGCAGGCUGGAGUCUUGUAGAGGGGGGUAGAAUUCCAGGUGUAGCGGUGAAAUGCGUAGAGAUCUGGAGGAAUACCGGUGGCGAAGGCGGCCCCCUGGACAA